rnacentral:rRNA from 1 species
GGGGCCCGCACAAGCGGUGGAGUAUGUGGUUUAAUUCGAUGCAACGCGAAGAACCUUACCUGGUCUUGACAUCCCGGAGACCCUUAGGAAACUAGGGGUGCUUCCAUCUGGAAGAAUCUGGAGACAGGUGCUGCAUGGCUGUCGUCAGCUCGUGUCGUGAGAUGUUGGGUUAAGUCCCGCAACGAGCGCAACCCUUGCCUUUAGUUGCCAGCAGUUCGGCUGGGCACUCUAAAGGGACUGCCGGUGUUAAACCGGAGGAAGGUGGGGAUGACGUCAAGUCCUCAUGGCCUUUAUGACCAGGGCUACACACGUACUACAAUGGCCGAUACGAAGGGCAGCGACACUGCGAGGUGAAGCCAAUCCCGUAAAAUCGGUCUCAGUCCGGAUUGGAGUCUGCAACUCGACUCCAUGAAGUUGGAAUCGCUAGUAAUCGUGGAUCAGCAUGCCACGGUGAAUACGUUCCCGGGCCUU